CCCGUAUACAUUAAAAGAGAAGUCACUUUAGUGAUUUAAGCUGAGGUGGCACUCAUAUAGAGCUUCUCAGGAAAAUCGUUAUAAUUCUAUUGGCUGGUUUUUUUGAAUUUUUCUUUUUCAUUUAUUUUUUUCACUCCCCUCCGCGUUUACUAAAACGCCGUCGUAUGUCCUGAAUUUUUUUUUUUUCAAUCGCGUAUCAAUUGAAGCUCUAUAUGGUUUCGAUCCGAUGAAGACAGUCCGACCAGAUGAAUUUGCUUCUCCAUACUCUGCUACUUCAAUCAUAUCCAUCGCGAACAUCGACGAUAACCAGACGAGGUGUAGUUUGUCGAUACUCUCGAAAUUUACGUUUUUUUUUUGGUUUCUCUGAUUGGAAUCGACUUUUAAGCUAAUUGGCGAAGAUUUUUUUGGUUUCUCUGAUUGGAUUCGACUUUUAAGCUAUGAUACAAAGAUUGUUGGAUUUCACUGAUUGGAUUCGACAUAUGUUAAGCUAUAAACUACGAUCUGCUUAUUAACAUUUUGAAUCUUUGUAUCUAAUUGACUGAUUAACCUUCUUGCUGUUGAGGUCUUGAUUCUCUUAAACAAGACAAUUGCCACGACCAGAGAUGUGUUACGCGGACUGUCUACUGAUGGAACAAGAAGAGACAACUGACAUUUACAAGAAACUUGCAUUCGACUUCAGUCUCUGACUCAGGACUGUAAGAUUAUCUUCUCCUUAAUAACUCAACAAGCAUUUAGACAGUCCUCUCUAGAGAUUUUCAAGUUUGGUUUUUUGUUUCAUUAGCACGAUUUAGAGCUUCACAUUACUAAUUCCGAUAGUCUGUUGCAUUGCUAAUUGCUAUUCGAUUUAGGGGUUCACAUUACUAAUUUAGUCAGUCGGUUUCAUUCCUUGCGGUUUCCGGUCUGUUGGUUUUCGGAUUUUCAAGUUUGCUUUUAGUUUAAUUAUGAGAAAAAAUGUGAAUAGCCUAUUUAGAAAAUGCCUAAUAUAUUAUCGAUAGAUGUUAAUCACAUAUAAUUAGAUAAUAACUUGCGCAAGAUUGUAAACUAAUUUGCAUAUUAAUAACUUUCCUUAUUAUUCGAAUCAAUUACUUGCGCAAGUUGUUUUCGUAUUUAUUACAUUACUUGUGCAAGUUAUUAUCAUAUCAUAUGCAAAUCAAUUUAAUAGGGAAAACACAAUUAAUAUCUUUCUUUAAACGAUUUCAAUCUUUAUUAGGGGUCAUUAAUAUGAUAAAUAAAUCGGCUUAAUAUAUAUAUAUGAGAAACCCGAAUGCUUAAAAUACUAACAUUCAGCCCUAACAAGAACAAUGGCAAUGGUGCGAGCCAAAAAAAAUAUUGUUUCUUAUGUGAGAGAAUUAAAACCCCGUAAAGAUACGUCGCGUAUUGAAGUUAGGAUUGUUCGCUUGUGGAGAAACUAUAAUAAAGAAUCAGGAAACACCAUUGAAAUAGUGGUUGUUGAUAAAGAAGCAAGUAUACAUCACACAACAUGGAUUUUUUUGGAAGUAUCGUUUAUAUACUUAUUCUGCGUUUAUAAGACUCUUAUAAUUUUUGUGACCAGGGGACAAGAAUUCAUGCUUCAGUUGGUGAACAACUCAUCAAAAAAUUCGAUGACAAGCUACGCGAGGGAGAUGCGAUUGUCCUCCAGUUGUUCAAAGUGUACGAUGCAACUGGUGAAUACCGUACAACGCCACAUCCUUACAAAAUUGGCUUCUUUCCAACAACUUUUGUUGGAAAAGCUGAUGAUUUUCCAAGUGUAGUUCCCGAAAAGUAUUUCGCAGACUUCUCUGAUAUUCUUGGUGGAAAUCUGGGUCAUAGCUGUUUGGUUGAAGUGGUUGGCCAAAUAGUUAACUUCGGGUCUCUGGAAAACAAAAUAAUAAAAGGAAAAGACAACAUGAGGCUCUUGGUUGAGUUGCGUGACCCAAAGUAAGACCCGGUUUUUAAUCUUAGUUAUACUUUGCUAGCUAAACCUCUAUUAACUGUAUUUAACUUAAGUUUAUAUUAUACAGUAAUGUGAACAUUAUGUGUACUCUGUGGGGUUGUUAUGCUAAACAAGUAUACGAUUAUAGUAGGAGUAACAUGUCCACCAUGAUUAUUUGUGUUAUCAGAUUCUGUUCUGUUAAAGAGUGGAAAGGUGCUUACUCCAUAUCUAGCGGGUAUAAUUCAACCCAUAUUCUGCUCAACCCAACACUUGAUUUUAUUGAAGAGUUCAAAUCAAGGUACGUGUUCUGCGUCUUACGCUCCAGACCUAUGGAGGAGUUCAAUACAUAUAGAUGUUUAUUUAAAUUUGUGAACGUCAUUUUCACGUACCGUGUUUUUAAAUUGUGUGAUUAUUUGUGAUGGCAGUCUCCCUGAUGAUUCACUUGCUCUUACAAACAACGAUAGUAGCUAAUUGUCUGUUGGUACUGCUACUUCUAUUCGUGCCAGUUUUUUUGUUCUUAAUGAGAGGCUAACCAUCAGAGAGAUCAUUGACAGUACUCUGGUAUAUAGACUACACUCUUCGAUCUCAAAUUUUUUACACAUGCGUAUACUCCAUGUGUUAUCAACGCUUUUAACAUAUUUUCAUUGACGAAUAGGUUGGCUCUUUUAUCACUCUGGGGACUAUUGAAACAAUUGAAACUGAACGUGGCUGGCAAUAUUUAAGUUGCAAAUACCACAACACAAAAGUGAUGCCUACAACCAAUGUUGAUGCUGAUGGCCGGCCCUUGUUCUUCUGCAAUACGUGUGACAAAGAUCACAGUGAUGUCAUUUCCAGGUAUUGAGCGGAUUAGAUAUACAAAUAGAUGAGUUAGGUAAAUCGUCAUUGAAAUAGUCUGUGAUGUUUACUAAUUUUUUUGUACAAGUUCAAAUUAAUUGCCCAUGUCAAGGACGAUAGCGGUGAGGCUAAUUUUCUUUUGUUUGAUGCUAAUGCUCAACAAAUUGUGCGUCAUUCUGCUGCUGAACUCUAUGACGAGGUACUUUUAUGCAAUAUAAUUGUACAUCAAUUAACACAAUAAAUUUGUUUGUUUAACCUAUCUCUAUGUAAUUAUAGAAUGAAGAUGAAGACUUCUUACCAGAAGCAGUAACUCCUUUGUCCAAAAGAAAAAGCAGACAAGAUGACGACAGUUGCCUUGAGGAUCAACACUCUGUUAACAAGAAACUCUCUCAAAAGAAAUUCAAGGGCGAGUGAGCUGUCUUUUUUUUCAAAUGAUGUCCUUUAUAUUGUUAUGGCUUUGUUUUUUCAUCAUUUUUAAAAAAUUUGUCUAAGGUACCUUUGGUUACAUUGGUUUUGUUUAAGAUUUGGUCCGAGUACCUUUGUUUUUUGCUUUUAAUUGGAUUAAAAAUUUAUCAAGUUCCAAUCUAGCCCAGACAACCUUUUCUUUGCCCAUUUGAAAUACUGAAUAACAAAAAAAUGUAACCAAAAAUUUAUUAAUCUUAGAAUUAUUAUCAAACCGAUCCCACUUAUUAGGCUUUUAUUGGUAGUAAUAUAAUCUCAGCCCAUUUGUAAUACCCAACUAAAAACCAAUUAAAAGCAUAAGAUAAUUGAAUUAUAUUGUCAUAAGAUAAUUAUAAUAGUUUUAUACUCUACUUGAUGAAUUGUGUUCGAAUAUAAUUAUAUAAUAACUAUUUUAAAUAUUACAAAAUCCAAAAAUAUUUAUUAAUAUUAUUUUUAAAUUAUUUAUCGUUGUUUAAAGAAUAAAUUUAUCAUAAUUUUAAAAUAAUUUAUAAAAUGCUUACAAAAUGCAAA